rnacentral:rRNA from 1 species
GUAACGGCUUACCAAGGCGAUGAUGCAUAGCCGAGUUGAGAGACUGAUCGGCCACAAUGGAACUGAGACACGGUCCAUACUCCUACGGGAGGCAGCAGUAGGGAAUCUUCCACAAUGGGCGCAAGCCUGAUGGAGCAACACCGCGUGAGUGAAGAAGGGUUUCGGCUCGUAAAGCUCUGUUGUUGGAGAAGAACGUGCGUGAGAGUAACUGUUCACGCAGUGACGGUAUCCAACCAGAAAGUCACGGCUAACUACGUGCCAGCAGCCGCGGUAAUACGUAGGUGGCAAGCGUUAUCCGGAUUUAUUGGGCGUAAAGCGAGCGCAGGCGGUUGCUUAGGUCUGAUGUGAAAGCCUUCGGCUUAACCGAAGAAGUGCAUCGGAAACCGGGCGACUUGAGUGCAGAAGAGGACAGUGGAACUCCAUGUGUAGCGGUGGAAUGCGUAGAUAUAUGGAAGAACACCAGUGGCGAAGGCGGCUGUCUGGUCUGCAACUGACGCUGAGGCUCGAAAGCAUGGGUAGCGAACAGGAUUAGAUACCCUGGUAGUCCAUGCCGUAAACGAUGAGUGCUAGGUGUUGGAGGGUUUCCGCCCUUCAGUGCC